rnacentral:rRNA from 1 species
AAACCUUACUAGGGUAGGACAUCAGGAUGAUUGACAAGUUGCUUGGUUUUUCUUGAUUUGAUGGGUGGUGGUGCAUGGCCGAUCUUAGUUGGUGGGGUGACUUGUCUGGUUAAUUUCGAUAACGAACGAGAUCCGAACCGUUUAGUUGUGGUGUCAUAGGGCUUUAGCUCUCGGGUGACAAACUUAAAUGGACCGACUGUUCAAGCAGUAGGAGGUGACGGGCUAAAU